GUUUUGAGAUGUAAACGCUGGAUAUAUUUCUCAUUGUUUUUCCAAUGACCGUGGAGAUAUUGCACUGGGCAUCGAUUUGAUGGGCACCAGACCUCAACUGGAUUUUUUCAAACAUUGCACUAAGCAGCUCUGCCCUCUGUGAAUAGAUCUUUGGGGUCACACCAUCUGUUGCAAUGGCUUUUACCAGCAGCAAGAUGGGGUUGUCACUGUUGUUCCUGACAACAUUUUGAAAUGCUGAGCUGUCACAGAAAGCACAGCAUAAGCACUGACAAAACGCAUCAAAUGCACAUGUGUUCAGAACAGAGAUUGUUGAUUUCCCAACUCUAAUCGGUUGAUGCAGGUUUCCAUUUUUUAAUAGUCCCACUUUCACUCUUUUUGCCCCAAACGAUGGAUCUGCAUGGAGCCAUUCAGUGCAGGAAGUGAGAUAAGAAGUUCUCUUCCUUUUUUUGGGUGGAAUAAUUAGUCCCCUCCAGUUUUCAACCACGUCUUCAUCUGUUGGAGGAAUGUUUGUGGUUUCAUCGGAUUCUACAGAUUGUGGCUGAGCUCGCUGUGAGACUGGUGCUUUUGAAGAGGGGGACCAUUACUCCUGUCCAAAGUGCCGCGUAGGUCAGUCUGGAUCUCGUCAAAAGAAUCCACUUGAUGCAUUUCAUUUGGAUCUUCAGCUGGAAUGAUGAUGGAGUCUUCUGUGAUCUGGGUUUUUAGAUAUUUUUUGCACAUCUCUGAUUCGAGAGGGACUCCAGAACUAUCAUCACCCUCUGCCUCACUGAGGGCCACAACAGUGAUGGCAUGUAUUAGCUGUUUUGCAUGGUCCAAGCACUGUGAUUGAAGAAGCUUUGCUAUUGCCCUGACAAAGAAAUCUUUGACACGGUGUGACUUGUU